AAUAACUUGAUCACAUGGCAAGCUUUCUUCAGGCUGCUGUUGAUUACAAAAAGAAACUUGGCUUCAAGGGAAAUCUGCUUUUGGAACCCAGGCCGCAAGAACCUACAAAACACCAGUAUG